rnacentral:lncRNA from 1 species
GUGAGCCUGGUAAAAAGCCCUCCUCUCCUGCUCAAUGAAUCUGUGCCCCAUGCAGACAUGGUGCCAGGGCUGUGUGGAGGAGCAAACAUUUCUCUAAUCUCUCCAGGGAUUUUUAAUCUAAGGGGAGAGAUAAAGCAUGUGCACGAUACUUCACAAAGUUUCCAAGGGAAAAUGCAUUGCAGGAGAUAAGCACAGUCUUGCCAGGGCUCUGAAAGCUGAGAGGAGGCACAGAACCUCCUGGCUGGGGGAAGCGUGCUGUGUGUGGUUCUGGCUGGGCUGCUAAGGAACAGGUGAGGAGUCUGACACUAGGAGAGGAGGGAGGAGUCUUCAGUGGUGUUAGAUACUAGAGAGCAACAUGAUCAAGCUUUGCCUGUAGAAGAGUAACUGAGCAUCGUGUGCAGAAUGGAUGAGAGAGAAGCAGCAGAGAGACAGCAAGGCCAUUCAGCAAGCUCAGGUGGCAGGUCCCAUCUGAUGGAGGAGAAUCAAUUCAAGGAGAUGCCCUUCCUUUACAGAACACCCUUUAACAGCAUCCAGGAGGAACGAGAGGCUGCAAUACUGAGGCUUUCAAAGUACUCACGAGGAUGUCCGAGAAUGGCUGUGAUGCCAGGCUUCUGGCAGGUUCCAGACUCCAUCACAAGCCCAGCAUCCCUGCACCAGAUCUGACAUCGCUGCUGUUGUGCCAGCUGUUUAUGAAGGGCCUGAGUAGCUAGCAGGUUUUUAUCAGGAGCCCUGCUGGGGGCUUAGACACCAAAAGAGAAGACUCAUCCUCUGUAGUUCUUCUUGUGAAUGUCCUUUUAGAAAAACAAUUAGAACCAACCACAAGCACCAAAGUCCUAAUGGGAUCUCCUGCGAGCACAUAUCAAGCAGGAUUGUUGCUAUUUCUCCUCACUGGCUCUUUGGACAGACUGUGUGAGCUCCUGGAGGGUUCCACUGUAUCUACCCUUUGACACUGACCAGUUGGCACAUGGUGACAUAUUCCAAUGUGUUGAUUGCAAAUGUGAACGUACAGCCAGUGCUGUGUGCGGGAGGACUCUCUCCUCCUCAGUGGGGCCACACCGUGCACUAUUAAUGGAGCCCCACUCCUUUGCACAGCCUGGCCAUGCAGUGGCUCAUAUUGAGGUUUUAGCCAACUGAAAUCUCCCGUGCAUUUUUCUGACAAGCCAGCUAGGCCUCUGCUAUGCUGUCCUUGUGUCUUUCAUUUGAUGACCUUAAGGGUGGGACUGUUUUAUCUUAAGUUACAGGUGGUCAAGUCCAGCCCAAGGACAGCAACUCUGAGGGUCAAGCCUCAUAGGCUAACUGGAUAGAUGUUCUCUGCUUUGCCACCCACUGGAGCCCGACCUGCCCCACUAAUUUAUAUUUCCCCUGGUCUCAUUUUGUACUUUUUAUUUAUAAUUCACCCUUAAAGUGUAUGUGUCUCUUAUAAGCUGCCUCCGAUCUUUCAUGGUAUGAGGUGGUUACCUAAAUAAAGAAGGAGAUUUGGCCUUUGUUUUUAUGUAACAGGACAGAUUUGCGAGUCUUUGUGAUCUCAUAACAGUUCUCCCAGUU